rnacentral:misc_RNA from 1 species
AGAAACUACAACUUUCCAACUCUUGAUGGAAAGGAACCAAGGGAGAAAUGGAAGAAGAAGAGCUUGAAACACUUGAGGGGUUUUUAGAAUGGGCAGCGGCGCUUGGAAUUUCAGAUUCAAUUCAGGAUUUCCAAUCUCGAAAACGAAAGUCCUGUCUGGGCAAUUCUCUCGCUGUCUCUAUUUUCCCUGAUGCAGGAGGAAGAGGCUUGGGUGCAGCCCGUGAUCUUAGGAAAGGAGAAUUGGUUCUUAGAGUUCCAAAAUCUGCCUUGCUAACAAGGGAUAGUAUACUAAAAGAUGUGAUACUGUCCUCUGCUGUCAAUGGCCAUCUCUAUCUCUCUCCUACUCAAGUUUGCUUAUUUUCCUUUCUUUCUGGCAAAAUAAAGAUCAUGGAUUCUUGAAUUUGUAGUUGCUGAUUCCUUUCUCUAUAAUUUAAUGCAGAUAAUGACUGUUUGCUUGUUAUAUGAAAUGGGUAAAGGAAAGAAUUCCUUUUGGUAUCCUUACUUGAAGCAUUUGCCCCGCAGUUAUGAGAUUCUAGCUACUUUCAGUGAGUUUGAAAAGCAAGCUUUGCAAGUUCAGUUUCUCUUUCUUUUUUCUUUCCCUUGCUAUUUUUCGGUUUUAGGUUAGGUUUGAUAUAACUUAUUAAGAUUUCUAUUGUGACAAAAGAAUGGUGUCUGAAAAUCUGGAGUCACUGUUAGGUGGAUGAUGCUAUCUGGACAACAGAAAAGGCCAUAUCUAAGGCUGAAUCAGAAUGGAAACGAGCUAAUUUGUUAAUGCAAGAGCUUAAGCUUAAGUCAAGACUUCUUUCUCUUAGGGCGUGGAUUUGGGCUUCUGCAACUGUGAGGAUAUUAUCUUUUUGUCCAGAAAUGGAAAAUGCUAAAUUAAAUUCUUUUAUUUGUUAUAUACCAGCACUUCAUCCUCCCACCAAAUAAUGUACAUGAUUAGGAAAAACAAAUUUGCAUGGCAGAUUCUAGCUCCUACUCUACUGGCGAGUAAAUACUCUGUAAAAUUGACAAGAUGUAUCAACAUUAUAAUGCAAGUAUCUUUCAGUAUGGUAAUCCCUGUCUUUUGGUUGGUGAUCACUUGUGUUUCCUGUGCAUGGGUGACAGUCUUUGAUGUUCUGCUACAACAAUCUUAUAUGGGACCUUUUUGUCUUAUGUCCAUUCUGUGUAUUAUGUGUGGUAAUUUCCACAUCUUUCUUUAGAUUCUGCAAUUUGAAACUUUACAUUUUGUUCCUGUUUAUAGAUAUCCUCAAGGACAUUGCAUAUACCAUGGGAUGAUGUGGGGUGCCUAUGUCCUGUUGGAGACUUGUUCAAUUAUGCUGCUCCUGGAGAGGAGUCAAAUGGCAUUGAAAAUGUUGAAAGUUUGAUGCAUUCUUCUUCCUUGCAAGAUCAUUCUUUGUCAACUGAACAUUCUACAGAUAACUUACCAGUGGAAAGAUAUGAUGCACAUAUACAGAGGUUAACAGAUGGAAGGUUUGAUGAAGAUUUUGGUGCAUAUUGCUUCUAUGCUAGGAACAAAUAUAAAAAGGGAGAGCAGGUUCUCUUAAGCUAUGGAACAUACACAAAUUUGGAGCUUCUUGAACACUAUGGGUUUCUCUUAAAGGAAAAUCCGAAUGACAAGGUUUUUAUUCCCUUGGAACCAAGCAUGUAUUCCUCGAAUUCAUGGCCCAAGGAAUCAAUGUACAUCCAUCAAGAUGGGAAACCAUCUUUUGCCUUAUUAUCUGCAUUGAGGUUAUGGGCAAUCCCACAGGGUCAGCGGAGAUCCAUGGGACACCUUGCUUACUCAGGUUCUCAACUUUCUGUAGAAAAUGAGAUAUCUGUCCUGAAAUGGAUAUCACAAAAUUGUCAUGUAAUUUUGAAUAAUUUGCCAACAACAGUUGAAGGAGAUAGUAUGCUCUUAUGUACCAUUGACAAAAUCCUAAAUUUUCGUAACCCUAUGGAGCUGGGGGAGAUGCUUUGUCGAUCAGAAAGUGAGGCUUGUGCUUUCUUGGAAGCCAGUAGUCUGCAGAAAAAAGAAAAUGGUGCUGAGUUGCUGCUAUGCAGUAAGACCAAAAGGUCAGCUGAACGGUGGAAAUUAGCAGUUGACUGGAGGUUGAGGUACAAGAAGAUACUUACUGAUUGCAUUUCUCAUUGUACUGAAAUCAUCAAUUCAUUCUCAAGUCAAAAUGUCUCAACAGUGAGAACUCAAUGAGGCAGAAUUUAGCAAGAUUUUGUAUUCUUCUCUUUUCCCCUCCUUUCUUUUUGGGGCGGGGGGUUUGGAAAACUAGGACCCAGCUAGGAUAAGUUACUCCACAAAUGCCCUUAGAUCCCAAUGCUUGGCUUACCAAUUACGUUCAUUAUCUUAUGCUGUAUUAUUUGUGGGAUUCGAUACUGUAAUUUUCUAAAACAGCAUCCUUU